UCAGCUUCUUCAUCUGAAAAAUGGGGUACAUAAUGUCUGACAUACCUUACAGGAGGUUGUGAGGAUCAAAUAAUAAAAUAGAUGAAAUAUUCUUUGACUGAAGACUAUACAACAUGUGCAGCUUGCUCCCUGAUUGUUCAAGUUAUUCAUCUCAUGUGUUAUGUCUGAAGAAAGAGCACCAUCAACACAGCCUUGGGGAAUGUUGGCCACUGAAAGCUCUCUCAGCUGAGUUUCUCUCAAAGGAAUUGC